GUCCAGGAAGUGGUGUUGUGGAGUGUGGACCCUGUUUUCCCAAGUCUCCUUCUCUGCCGUCGUCCCUCAAACCUGCUCAUUUCUAGGACUCACCACCGGCUCAAGACUCCUCACAGACGAGUUCAGGCUGCUCCCCAUUUGGGGAACCUGUCUAGGGACCGCGUAAGAGGGGGUUUUCCACCUGGCGCUGGAGCCAUUUCCAAGUCCAGUGACACGAAAGAUUUAUCAUCCUUGAGAAAAGGAAAGGCGGAGGCUGAAUGGAGUGGUCUGACGGGCGUUUCUAGUCUGCAUGGGAGCACAGCUUGAGGCAUAAGGAAACAGAUACAGAUCAGGUGCAGCUCCCGUGGGAGACCCGAUUACUCUCAGGAGCCUAGACAACUGACUGCUGCUACUUCCUGCACCUGGAGAUUCAGGGGGGGUCUCCUUUCCCUGGCAGACCUCCAGAGACCUUCUACACCCAUAUAUCUGAACGAGGUAUGCAUAGCCAUUUUGUAAAUACAGGCCCCUGAGUUUUAAGUGUCUUUCUGCUAUAUGGUUCUAAACAGGGCUCCAGAUCUAAUAAAUUUGUUAUAAUGUGAGAGCCGUAGAUCUGGUAAAUCCUCUUAGCGCCCUUGGGUUUAACUACCACUUGGUCCUGGAUGUGGUAAUCAGCUAGAGACCCCCUGUCCAACGAGAGUAUUUAAUGAAUACUCUGUGUCAUUGCUUGGCCAUCAGUUGGCAAUCUUCAUGGUGACCAAAUAUCAAAAGUAGGUAUCAUGGAAAGUCACUACAGAAAACCCCUUCUCAGUUGUCCUUAAAACCAUACUUGAAGGCUCCAGAAUAAUUGCGUUAUUAGUUGAUAAUCAUUUCAAGAAUAU